AACCUGGGAGCUUUUACAUAGCACUAAUUCUCAGCACCUCUUCUCCCAGCCACAGAAUCAGAAUCUUUGGGGAGGGAUAAGGACCAGAUAUGAGGGUUGCAGCCAAGGUUGAGAACCACUGAUCUCCACGCAGCUGGGCCCCAAAGCAGAAGGAGGUAGUCAGUUCACCUAGUGACAAGAAGGUGCUGAGACUCAGGGCCCAUAAAUGUCUAAAUAUAAGCAUUCUCCUAAACUCCCACACUAGCAGGUCAUGGACUGGUUCACAGACUUCUAGGACCUUGGGCAAGUUGUAUUCCCUCCUGGGGCUUCCGUUUUUUCAUCUCAUAAAGCAAGCUUUGGACAAGACUAGGACAUUGAUAAAAUUGGGGAAGCCCCAAAUUGCAAUGACUCUAACUCCACUUUUUUGCCCUUCCACACAUACGACUUGGGCAAACCAUUUGUAUCAUUUUAUUUGUCUCAAUGUUUGUCAUUGUUCAUUGUGGUAGAUUGUAUUUUGUUCAAAAUAUUUGCUGCCCUUCCUUGGGGGCAAUUAUACUUUCUCAUCCUGUUGAACUUAGGAGUGGAUAUGUGACUUUAUUUAGCUGAUGAAAUGUGGGCAGAAGUGACUUGAGUCAUUUCUGAGCAGAAACUUUUAAGACCCAGCUUGUGUUUUUGCCACAUUUCUUUUUUCUUUGCCAGGAAGUCAUCAAUGACCCAGAUAGGACAGGUGCCAUAUAAUUUAUUGUCAAACCAGGCAUUUUAGAAAGUGAGAGAGUAUGCUAUUGAGAGUGAAAAGAUAUAUUAUUAAUAGUUACUCUGGGACAAUAGGCAUAAGCUAUGACUGUGUUGGAUAAACUGAAAUAUAUGGUCCAGAUAGAGGUUUCUUUGUUAGCUUGGGUCCUGGGGAGAAGAGGAAAUGGAGCAGAACCAGAGCCAACCCAUAAUGGACACACAUGAGAGAGAAGUCAUCCUUCGUAAGCCAUUAAGAUUUGGGGGUCCAUCAUUAUUACAGUAGAAUUUAGUCAACAGAUACAGAAGUUUAACUAAUACAGCUGAUGCAGAAAACUCAUUGAAAAAGUGGCGUUAUGUUGGCAUAAGUUACUGGGUCAUUCAAGUGACUGCUGAACACUGAAGCUAU
rnacentral:lncRNA from 1 species